GACGAACGCUGGCGGCGUGCUUAACACAUGCAAGUCGAACGGAAAGGCCCUGCUUUUGUGGGGUGCUCGAGUGGCGAACGGGUGAGUAACACGUGAGUAACCUGCCCUUGACUUUGGGAUAACUUCAGGCAACUGGGGCUAAUACCGGAUAGGAGCUCCUGCUGCAUGGUGGGGGUUGGAAAGUUUCGGCGGUUGGGGAUGGACUCGCGGCUUAUCAGCUUGUUGGUGGGGUAGUGGCUUACCAAGGCUUUGACGGGUAGCCGGCCUGAGAGGGUGACCGGCCACAUUGGGACUGAGAUACGACCCAGACUCCUACGGGAGGCAGCAGUGGGGAAUAUUGCACAAUGGGCGGAAGCCUGAUGCAGCAACGCCGCGUGCGGGAUGACGGCCUUCGGGUUGUAAACCGCUUUCGCCUGUGACGAAGCGUGAGUGACGGUAAUGGGUAAAGAAGCACCGGCUAACUACGUG
rnacentral:rRNA from 1 species